ACUGGGAGCUGUGGCGGGCUCCUGUAAUCUGGCUGUUCAGAGGUCUGAGCUGGUGGAUGGUGUGAGGUUAGGGCUUCUGCCGGUCGUCUGUCUAUGGCGAUCGGGUGUCCGCACUAAGCUCGGCAUCAAUAUGGUAAGCUGGACGGAGGUCUGGUCGACCAGGUUGACCAAAGAGGACCGCAGCAGCCAAAAGGUCCCGUGUCGAGCAGUAUGGUGGGAUCGCAUCCGUGAAUAGAAGUCUGCCGGUAGCCUAACCAAAAGAACUAGACCCAACUCUUU
rnacentral:SRP_RNA from 1 species